rfam:Felis catus isolate Cinnamon breed Abyssinian chromosome C1, whole genome shotgun sequence.
GCCUGGUUAGCUCAGUCGGUUGGGCUUCUGACUUUGGCUCAGGUCAUGGUCUCGCAGUGCGUGGGUUCGAGCCCCACAUCAGGCU